ensembl:lncRNA
GCGCUCCAUAGAUGCUGGGUUACUUGUUGUUCCUAUGGUUUUAAAAAGUAGGCUGGGGGCCAGAGCCUUCAGUCAUCAAGCUCCUCUUUUAUGGAACCAGCUUCCACUUUCAGUCCGGGGGGCAGAUUAGGUCAGCUCUUUUAAAGUAAAACUUAAAACUUUCCUCUUUGAUUCUGCCUAUAGUUAGGGCUGGCUCAGGUUAGCCCGGACCAGCCCUUAGUUAAGCCUAUUGCUAUAUUGCUAUAGGCUUAGACUGCCCGGGGACUUCUUAGGACACACGGAGCUCCUCUCUCUCUCUUUCUCUCCCUCUUUAUGUUAAUUCACAUUUCAUUAAUAAUUCACAUCUCAAUGCACAUCCUUAUUUCUCUUCUUUUAUCUUCCCCGAGUAUUUGUGCUUCACCUACUCACAGGUUUCUAUGGAUGGUGUUUUUUGCUGCAGUGGCCCUUGAAGGUUCCAUCCUGGCAGAAAGGACACAAACCGUCCCAGUGAAGAGGACGCCAGUGGACGGGAAAUGUGCUGUCUUCCUACAGAACCCCGUUCCCCACGCAGCGAGCGGCCGGCCGGCGGCGAUCCGCAGACGUAAUGCGACAUA